GGACCAGCUGCAGGGCACCAAACUUGACAAUUAUGAGUGCAACAAGCUUUUCCUUCUUCUGUUUUUUACUUGUGCUAUGUUCCAGGUGCAUCUUAUCUGAAAAGUAUGGUAUGUGUUUACAUUCUCAUGGAAGCUCAUUGCCACUCUAGGAAAAGCAACUGCUUGAAAAUAAUGAGUGCAAAACUCUUUAUUUGCCUGCUUACAUCAAGUCUUGUGCAAACUGACAACUGUAAGACAACACCUGCCUGCAGUCCUACUUUAGAAGUAAUGUUGCCUCACAGAACAAUGGUGAGAGCCUGCCACGUGUUGUGAGAAGCUGAGACAGAUGUCAGAUCCAACUGUUCAGUUGUUUUAGGGCAUCCUAUAUUUAUUAAGUCUGGCUACAAAAAAAAUCUGGAUUUUUUAUAAAGUAUUUUUCCAUAGGUUUCUGUAGAAGUCACCGUUAACAGUCAAAGAAUAUUUCCAGAUGCAAAUUGUGUUAUGGAACACAUAAUAACAGCAAUGUGCUUGGUUCAUUUUCCUUAUUCUCUACCCAGGAUAACAGAAAAGAUUUAUUUCUGGUAUUAAGCUGGCUUGAUGAGUCUCUUCUUAGACUCAUAACCAUUUUGCUAUUAAUCUAACCGAAAUUGGAAACCAGGAUUCAGAGUCAUCUACAAGUAGGUUAAAUGUUUCCUGGCAUUUGGUUGCAAACUUGGGUUUCUCUUAUGUUUCCUUGAAAAUGUUUCAAGUGAAUGCUCUCAGGCUUUCUAAAAUUUCUGUUCAGUUUUUUUUUUCUGGAUAUAAAUAUACCAAACUAAAUAGAGGGACAGUCCUGGAGGUACCUGCCUCUUCUCUGAUUUGCUGUUCACUCUCCUCCAGCUCUCUCCUGCUACUUCAGCCUCAGCUUUUCUAUACACUGGACUCAGGACGAACAGCCUCAGAUAACAAAGAUACUUGCAAUAUUUCCUUUUUUACUCCUGUGAGUAUUGAUGGCAUCAGGAAUGGCAAAAAAAGAAAGAAGUAUGAUGCAGAAAAGGAACAGAGCUUUUCCAGAUAUGAAGUUUCCUCUUCAUCCACCUCCAAAAGCAGCCCAGAAAGUAAAUCAAUAUUUCGGUCCUGGGAUUGACCAUGGGUAAUAUUUUCUUCUUAAGUCUGACAUUAAAAUUAAAAAUAAAAUUGUGAGUCUGCAUAAAUACCACCAAAGUUUGAGUUGAUUUAAAGAGGAUU